rnacentral:lncRNA from 1 species
AGAGAGAGAGAGAGAGAGAGAGAGAGAGAGAGAGAAGCCAGUUUUAGGAGAGAGAGAGAGAAAGCACGAGAGAAGAAGGGGAAAGUACAGGGAACCCAUUUUUAGGUUUUGAGAGAGAAAAAGAGAAAGCAUGGGAGAAGAAGAUGAAAGUGUAGGGAACCCAUUUUUAGGUUUUGAAAUAGAGUAAAAGAAAGCAUGAGAGAAGAAGGGGAAAGUGCAGGGAGCCCAUUUUUAGGUUUAGCGAUAGAGAAAGAGAAAGCACUGGAGAAGAAGGGGAAAGUGCAGGGAAGAGGAGAAAAAGUGCAGAGCACUAAAAGAGAGAGAGAGAAAUCCAUUUAGGCACCUAGAUCUUCCCACCUGUGGGAUGGAUUCCAGAGAGAGAGAGAGACUAAAUCCACCACUCGAGGAGAGGGAGAAACACAUGUAAGAUGGUCUAUUCCUCUGAAAAAUUCCUCCACUAUUUUUUUUUGGACUCGGAUUAAUAGGUUUUAUCUCUCUCUCUUUCCUUCAUUGUAUCAAAGGAUUGCUUUGACGAUUGUGUACAUUUUUUGCAUUUUAAUGCCAGUAUUGUGAGUGAUUUAUUGGUACGAAUUAGUGGCUAAUAUGCUUGACUACUACCAUGAGCUUCUAUGAGAUGAUCCAUAAAUUAGCGAGAGAGAUUAGGAUAGAGACAUGUUGAGUCUGCUAUUAACAUAUUGAGGCAUGUAUUGUCUUUCUAGCAAAUUGGUGCUUAUUUGUGGUGGCUUGAGAGGAAACUUAGACAACUUUUCUAGGAAUUCUACCAAUUUUGAAAAAAAAAUGCAUUGGUUGUCUCAUUUGUUCUCUAUUUACUGUUUCAAAGUUUUUUUUUCUCAAUUUUUUUAAUCUAUUGUUUGUUUUCUUGAGGUUUUGAGGUUUUUGUAGGUUUUUAUGAGUGUUGUUUGCCAAUUUGGCCUGAAAAUUUUAUUUCGGGAUGUUAAUAUGAAAUAAAAGAAUUAAAAGAUUUGAAUAAGGAUGUACUUUUUUUUAUGAGUAAUGAUCCUAUGAGACCCUUCCACACCCAUGCGUGUAGGACCCCAAAGGAUCACCAUUAAAUUUGGUACAGAUCUCUAGAAAAGUUAUUACAUAAGUAUGGGAUUUGACUUUUUCUAGAUAUCUGUAACAAAUUUAAUGGUGAUCAUUUGGGGUCCUAUACACAUGGGCAUGGGAGGGUCUCAUAAGAUCAUUGCUCUUGUUUUAUUGGUAAGGAUUUAUGGCAUUCCUCAAAAAAAUCUUUUUUUUUAGUGAUUUUUGUUUUAUUUUGUAUGGAUUGUAUCUUAAGAAACUUAAUUUCGAGCUCUCCUUCUCUAUCUCUACCUCUCUUAUUGUGUGAUUUGUUGUAGUGAAUUUUAAAUUUUUUAGUUGUUUUGCUAUCAAUUUAUAACUCAAUUUCUAGUUAGUAUUUUUUAUUUAUUGUUCUGCUAGAUUUUGAAAUUCUUGCUUAUACUUAAAUUUUGUGUCUAUGUAAUAUAGAAAUGAAUUUGUGUUAAUUACUUAUGUUUAGGUAUUACUUAUUAAAAGUUAUGGACAUCAUGGAGAAGGGUGCUCAAGUGGUGACAUUGUUGCCAACAUGGAGCCUAUUAAGGCUUACAUACCCAUUGAGGCACUCGUACACUUGAUUCAUCCUAUAAGAUGGACCAGGAUGAUUUCUAGAAAACCAAUUUUAUGGAUGUAAGUUAUGAUAAUGUCAUAGCAACUGAGGAUGGUGAGGACAAUGAGGUCCCAUUGUUUUGUGAUCACUAAGAUAAUAGUGGGCAUCAAAGGACUUAUUUGUAGGAAUGAACUUUGAAUGUGAUGAUGUUGCGUAUCAAUUUUACAAUACAUAUGUUUAACGAAAAGGCUUUAGCAUUCGUCUUGAGAGGCCAAGGAAGGACAAUGACAAUAAUUUGAGGAUGCGAGAUUAUGUUUGCUCAAAAGAAGCCAAACGUGAUCCAAAGUAUACAAGAAAACUCAUCAUCGACCAAUAACAAGGGAAUGAUGCCAAGCAAUUUUAAGGGUGCACAGGAUGAAAGAGAGAAAAUGAGUUGUAACGAAAUUUGUUGAGGAGCACUCCCACAAGUUUACAUCGCCAUUAAAGGUACAUCAUUUGAGAUCACAUUGACGCAUCCCAACAGCUACCAUGAACUUGGUUAAAGCGAUGUCUUCAGCAAGGUUGGUGUACAUAAAAUUAUGUAAUUUUUAACAGAACAUAUGAAUGAGUUCAAUGCUCUAAGCUUCACUCACAUAGAUGUCGAAAAGUUUAUCCAUAGCACCUGUAGGAAGGCGAGUGUUAGAGGGAGGGAUGGGGAGGCUCUUUUGACCUACUUUUGUGAACGUGUUGAGGCGAACCCAUGUUUUUUUUAUAAAAUACAAUUUGAUGAAGUAGGUUAAGUCUGUAAUUGACUAUGGAUUGACUCGUGAUCAAGGAUAUCAUAUGAGUACUUUGGCAAUGUAGUUAUUUUUAUACAAUAUAUAAGACAAAUACAUAUCACAUACUUUUUGCCCCCAUUAUUGGAGCAAACCACCACAGAAACAACAUAGUCUUUGGUUGUGCACUAUUUAAGCAUGAGACAACAUAGUCUUUUAGUUGGCUAUUUGGGUAUUGGCUAGAAGCUAUGUAGGGUUGAUAGCCGGGUUGCAUCAUUACUGAUCAAGACGCAGUCAUGGCUGCUGCAAUUAAAGAAGUUCUUCCAAAUGCACGUCAUCAAUUAUGUAGAUGGUGUAUUUCACGAAAGUUUCAAGAAAAAUUGGGGCAUGUUGAGCGGAAGCACCCAAAGUUCUUACAUGAGCUGUAUAAAAUCACUACUGAUUAUAAUGAGACAAUUAACUAUUUUGAGGAUCGUUGGUCCAGAGUGCUCCAAAAAUAUGAGCUUGGGGGGAAUUAAUGGUUGAACAUAACAUAUGGAUGUCAUUCUCAGUGGGUUGAUGUGUACAUGACGAAUACAUUUCUUGCUAGUGCACAGUCUAGUCAACGAAGUGAAUCUAUGAAUAGUUUUAUUAAACAAUAUGUAAAUUUACACACCAAUUUUUCAGGAUUUGCAAAACGGUGCUAGAAAGCAAUUGACUAUCUAUAUGAGAAAGAAAAUAUGAUAGAAUUCAAGGGCACUGAAGGUAUUCUAAUGAUAAGAACGACAUUCCGCUAUGAAAAACAAGCUGUUAAGUUGUACACCCAUGGUGUAUUUAGGAAGUUUGUUGAGGAAAUUCAAAAGAUACCUCCUAUGGUUGCAGAGUCUAUAGAAGUUGAGGGACCAAAUACCACAUAUAGGGUGUAUAAAUAUGAUGUCAAUCGACCACAAUAUAAAGUGAUAUUCAAUGAAUCAUAAAUUACAGCAACUUGCACAUGUUGCUUGUAUGAACAUGAUGGUAUUCUUUGUGCACAUGUCUUAAAGGUUUUCUAUUAUAAUAAUGUUAUGCUCAUCCCUGAGCACUACGUCAUGAAAAGAUGGAGUAAGGAAGGGAACAAAGGGAUGGUAUCAGAUGGCGAUGAUGUUUAAAUUAAUGCUGACAAUAAGGAGUCUCAAACUGCUCGUUACGAUGAUUUAAGUAGAGUCACCUUUAAAGUUGUCUCAAACGGAUCAGAUAGUGAAAGACUCUUGGAAUUUACAAAAAAUAUUCUUAUGGAGUGUAAUGACAAAGUGGAGAGGAAGAGAUUGGAGUAUGAAGAAGAGGCAACUUGUUCGAAUCAAGGUAGCAAUAUAAAGAAUGUCAUGCCUAGUCAUAGUUACACACCAUGGACUAACACAAACAUCUUUAUACUUGAAUCACAAUGUACUCGAACAAAAGGGCGGCCUGACACUAUAAGAAAGAAAGCACCAUGGGAGGAGAAGACAAGCACGAGGAAGUAUUCUAUUUGCUAAAAUGUAGGGCAUGAUAGACGAACUUGUCCAACUUUUAGAACUCACGAGUAAAAUUAAUAAUUAUGCUUACAAGUAAAAUUUAAUGUUGUUAUACUUUAAUAUUGUCUUGUGAAUUUGAAAUAAUGCAUCAACUAAUCACUGUUUUGCAACUUAUGCAGGUCCGAUAUGGAAAUUCCCAUAAUGGCGCCUGAAGCUGAGCGAAACAAUAUGUAGACUUCGCUAUGUACACCAUUCGCUGAGCGAAACAACUCAUCAUCUUAGAAAUUUUUUGCAAGCCCAAUGCUCAACAAACAAGCUCAUCAUCUUAGAAAUUUUUUGCAAGCCCAAUGCUCAACAAUCAAGCUCAUCAUCUUAGAAAUUUUUUGCAAGCCCAAUGCUCAACAAUCAAGCUCAUCAUAUUUGAAAUUUUUUGCAACCCUAAUGCUAGUGGAGAAGACUUUAUCUUGGAAUGGAGCUUCGAAAUGGAAUUUUUGUAUAGCUUCCAUAUGUUGCAAAUUCCUGUUGCAAGUAGAAUUUUGUAUAGUUUCAAAGUGCAUGCUCUUUGGGUGCUGCAAAUAAAUUUUUUGUAAUAGCUUUCCAUUUUGCAAUUUCAAAGUGCAUAUUGAUUAGCUUCAAAAUGAAAUUUUUGUACAGCUUUCCAUUUUGCAAAUUGAUAAUGCAAAUAAAAUUUUUGUAUAGCUUCGAAAUAAA